rnacentral:rRNA from 1 species
AUAUUAAAAUUGUUGCAGUUAAAAAGCUCGUAGUUGAAUUUCUGCUACAUUGCCCUUUCUCCUUUACGAGUUUGGGUCUUUUGUGGCUUAUCUGGGUUCGCUUGCGUUCCCGGUGUUUUACUUUGAGAAAAUUAGAGUGCUCAAAGCAGGCUUUUGCCUUGAAUAGUUUAGCAUGGAAUAAUAAAGUAGGACUUUGGUUCUAUUUUGUUGGUUUUAGGUACCAAAGUAAUGGUUAAUAGGAACAGUUGGGGGCAUUCGUAUUUAACUGUCAGAGGUGAAAUUCUUAGAUUUGUUAAAGACGAACUACUGCGAAAGCAUUUGCCAAGGAUGUUUUCAUUAAUCAAGAACGAAAGUUAGGGGAUCGAAGACGAUCAGAUACCGUCGUAGUCCUAACCAUAAACUAUGCC